rnacentral:lncRNA from 1 species
UACAGAUAAUGUAUAUACUCUGUACCAUGUUUGGGUCGACUUCUGCAUCUUACUGAGUGAGGUUGUAAGUCCUACCCUAGAUAGGAGGUCUGGCCUGGUUCUGGUUUCUUAGUCACUCCAUAUCAUAAUGUUAGACACUCCCACAUAUGCAGCAAAUAUUGUUGAGGUAAUAGCAGGGUCAGUCCCCAUGAUCCUUGCCACAGUGCUAGCAAAUCUUACUGCGUCUUAUUGUUGGAAUCUAAGGGAG